GACGAACGCUGGCAGCGUGCUUAACACAUGCAAGUCGAACGGGAGUAUUGAAGAAGCUUGCUUUAGAGAUACUUUAGUGGCGGACGGGUGAGUAACGCGUGAGGAGCUGUCCAAUGCAGGGGGACAACAGUUGGAAACGACUGCUAAUACCCCAUAAGCCGAGAGGUAAAAGGAUUUAUCCGGCAGAGGAGGUACUCGCGUCCUAUCAGCUAGUAGGUGAGGUAACGGCUCACCUAGGCGAAGACGGGUAGCCGGCCUGAGAGGGCGAACGGCCACACUGGAACUGAGAUACGGUCCAGACUCCUACGGGAGGCAGCAGUGGGGAAUAUUGGGCAAUGGGGGGAACCCUGACCCAGCGACGCCGCGUGGGUGAAGAAAUCCUUCGGGAUGUAAAGCCCUGUUGUAUGGGAAGAGCGGAAGACGGUACCAUACGAGGAAGCCCCGGCAAACUACGUGCCAGCAGCCGCGGUAAU
rnacentral:rRNA from 1 species